rnacentral:sRNA from 1 species
UUGAUAUUAAGAAAUCUGAAAAACUUUGAAUAGGUAGUAAAAGAUGAUGAAUUCUUAGAGCUUUACCUCAGGAUGUGUAAUUUUCAUGCUUUUCCUUUCUAGAAAUCUAGGAAACCUGACAUGGGACCUUUGGUAAAUACAUUAUUAUUCAUACAUUUUGAUGGAAUAUAACUAAUAUGUUUAUUUUCUCUAAACCAUAGUUUCGUAAGUAUAAGCCACACCUUUGAUUUACCUACCCUAUCUUCUUUACUGAUGAAGCUGAAACUACUUUGUGAUGCCUGUUGUCCCAGAUCUUUCUGUUAAUUGCCUAACAACAAACCAGUUUAGAAACAUCAACUGGAAUCAAUUUGCAUUUGAAAAUUAGAUCAGCACAAAGACUUGAUAUUGUGGAAUGACUAGCAAACAAGCAAUGUCAUCUAACGAACAAGAAAGGCUCUUGUGUUAUAAUGGGGAAGUCCUUGUUUUCCAGUUGUCUAAAGGAAAUUUUGCAGAUAAAGAGCCUACAAAAACACCCAUAUUACAUGUCAGAAGAAUGAUAUUUGACAGAGGAACAAAAGUA